rnacentral:lncRNA from 1 species
UGCCCGAUCAAAAUCCUAAAUAGAGUAAGUUCAUUUUUGGCCCUUUUCUUUGAGUCAAAUUUUGAACUUGAUAAGUUGUCUACAUGAGUUUUACAUGUGACUCUUUUAGCUUUAGGGUUAAUCUCUGUUAACUCAAGGUCCUAGUUAUAUAGUUAGAUUUUGAUUAUGACUCUGUGGUGCAGGUUAAUUACCUUUAAGCUUUUGGUAGAUUUGGAGCUUUUAGUAAGCAUCAGCUAAAGUUCAGGUAAGGGAAGCUAGUCUUAUUAUUUUCAAUAAAACCCUAUGUUAGAAGAUUCUGGAUGACGUGGCCACCCAUUCCAAUUAUUUUUGCUUGCAGGAUUGUCUCUCUUGAAGAGUAAAGUAAUAUAUUGACUGGAAUGGUUGAUUUUGAAUCUUUUAUAUUGAUUUUAAGGUGAAUAAUUUGUUAAAACUUUUGAUGUAUAUAUUAAAUCCCUAUGAAGAGGGAUAUUUCUUUUGAGAUACACAUAUGAGAAAGUAGUAUAUGUUAUUUGUAAUUAGAUAUUGCUUGUUUUACUUUUAUUACAUUAUAUAUGGGUAAAAUUAAGGAUGUUACA